ensembl:lncRNA
UAUAUAUAUAUAUAUAAACAUGGAACAGUGGAUGAAGAUGCAGAUGAUAUUUGGGAAAUUUGCAUAAAUGUGCAGUUUGUUGGACACGUGUCAGGGACUACAGCUUCAGUUUGGGCGGAUAAAUGGAGACUUUGGAAUACUCAUCACAUAUCACAAUGUACUGCUGAGUGCAUGGACUCUCUGAAAGGAUUUCUGCCAUUUCUUUAUUUCCCUGUAAAAUGAACCUGCAGUUAGAUUCGGGAUACUCGGAUGUGUUGAGAUAUUUCUCGAUCAGAAAAUCGAGACACGCGAUCAAGUGGCGGUUCGUUUUCUCCUUCUGCAUCCAGCACUUCCUUUCCAGCAAUCCCUCCGCCGUUAUAUAUCGCAGCUUAAACUGGCACUUGGUUUCGAUCGUCUUGAUCUCGUCCGGUACGCCUCUGAUGGUGAAGGUGAUGGAGAACCUGUUGCACGUGAUCUUUAACGCCUGAUGUUUGGACCCCACCACGUCUUUGGCUUCUGUAAAACAGGAUCUCAUCUGGUUCUGGCAGGAGUGCACGCUGAAAUAGAUGCUCUUGACGUCCGCGUCCACGACCGCGUCGCCGUCGCAGUAGACGCAGCAAUCGAUGCGAGUUUUACCGUCCUCGGCCGACACGGUGUAAAUCACGCCGCCGACUUUGCCGAUUUUCAGACACUGACAUUCACUUUUGACCUGCAGGGUCAUGGCUUCGUCGAGAGGGUUGUGUCUAAACAUGCGCUCGGAAAUAUCCAGGUUGGAGAGGAGGACGUUGUCCUUGCAUGCCUUCUCCUUCAGCUUCUGUUUCACUGACAGUAUGCCUUGCGUGUCAGGAUGCACAUCAAAGGUUCUAGAAAAGCAGAAACAUCAUGGCAUCGUUUGGGAACGGUGUAAAUGAGAGAGGUUUUACACCGUCCCGAUACAGGCCGGAAAACUUUAAAACAACAGGUAUGACGCACAACGAAAACAUGCCAUGAGGAAAUAACCCUUACUCUGGUGCUCCAGACAUCGUGUAGAGGAGCGACAGAGCUCUUCGAGUUCCUUCACACAAAGCUGUAGAAAAUAAAAAGCACAGAAACACUGAUCAGUGCAGCACUCAGGGUCCAUCGACUAAACCCUGUCGUGGUUCCGUGAAUAGACGUGUUCGUGUCCCUCAGCGUAAGGGCCGGAUAUCCUCUCUUUCGGUUUCAUUUCCUGCACAGCAGAACCGCCCGGACGUUCUUAAAGGUACACGAUCACAAUAAUACCCAGACUUUCUGUUCUGCUCUCGUCUGCUCGGUCCUCUCCGUCUUUCCUCCGUUCUGCUCGUCUCUCUGUUCUGUACUUUAUGGUUCUCUGUUCUGGUCUGUCCUGAACAUUCCCUGCGUCUCUGCUCUGCUCUGCUCUGCUCUGCUCUGCUCUGUACUGUUCUGUACUGUACUGUUCUGCGUUCUUCUGCGCUUCUCUUUUAUUCUCUGUUCCUGUUCUGCCUUUCUUCUCUUCUCUGUACUGUUUUCUUUUUCUGCUGGAAGAAAAGACACUUUGUGUUAAGUGAUUGAUUUAUUUUGCUCGUACAAAAGAAAACAUCAUCGAGUCUCAGGGUAAAAACCGUUUCGUCAGCACUGAACAUGGAAAUGUCUUUACAAGUCUUCUGAUGGGUUUGUUGUUGUUGUUGUUGUUGUUGUUUUUUUGUUUUUUACAGAAUGUCUACUGCUUCUCAUAAACAAGAGUUUAUAAAGUUACAGGUGAUUGUACAAAUAGAAUUGUUAUGCAAUGCAUGUAGAAAGAUGAAAGUAAUUUUAUAUGAAGUACUGCAUCUGCGUCAUAUAAUAACAUCUAGUAGCAUAAGGUCGGUAUCCUGGCUCUUCUCUAGCCCCGCCCAUCUUUCACGCCCUCUGCUCGGCGGGACAUGUCUCCGUUCUCCAAGGCUCCGUUCCCAGUGCGCUUCAGUGGUGUUCUGGUGAGACUCGGUGGCGUAGCGCACUCAUCUCCUCGAUCAGUUGCGUGUCGGAGGAGGAAGUUUCCCAAAAGCGUCGUAAAGGUAAGAUCGUCUCAACUAGGAGAGAGAGAGUGUUCGGCGUGACGCUCGCUCUACCGUUUGACCGUGACCUUUGCACUGCGACGCUUUUGUGAAACGCUGGAUCUGGAGUCUGUUUGGGGUCGCAGAAUCUACCUGUGUCCGUGUUUGUGUUUCCUCGCCACAACUGCCGGUUAUUGAAUAUCUAUCUAUCUAUCCAUCUAUCCAUCCGUCCACCCGAGUAUCCUCCUGGCCCCUCGACCUUCACUCGUACUCCCACAGCUCCAUGUCCUGAACCCUGUGGCUGUGAGCUCGAUUCUGUCCGUCGGUGAAGACGAAGUGCUGCGUGCUGUGGUAUCCGUCGCGUCCGCAGACGAGCUCCACCAGCUCUCCGUCACUCUGGAUGAGGACGCGGAUGUUUUCCUCCUGAAACUGACUGUAGUUGAUCAGCAGGUGCUGGAAACAAGCCAGCAGGCCUUCCUUCAUCUCGCCGCUUCUCUCCAGACGUGUUUUGGUCUCCAGGAGCUUCUCCAGGUUCAGCGUUUUGCCGAAGCACACUCGUCGGCGAGGGCAGACGAAAAGGCUGCGCUGAGGCUGCUGGGUAGUGUAAGUAAUCUGAAGCUCACCGCACACGAUCCUCAGCUCCAGCUGGCUCUGAGACGACGGAUCCGACUCGAUUUCCGCGCGUAAAACGCGCCUCGCUCGAUCCACGCAGCUCUCCAGCUCGUCUCUGCAGCGAUGCCCGGCGAAGUGAGACUCGCUCAGGCACGAGGGGACGAGACGAGACCCGACCGGGACUUUCUGAUGAAGCUCUGGACCGUUCUGACCCACACGGACCACGUACAGCAGGACGGGGUUUCCUGCAGUGAACCGAACCAGCUGCCUCUCUCCUUCAAAGGUGAGAGAGACGUCACGGCGUUUCGAGGCAGGGAAUUUCUCCAGCGUCUGGAUCGCAAAAUCCAAGCAGGUCUUCAUGUUGGAAUCCAGAAAGCCUUCUUGGCGCAGUUUCACCUUCGCUGAGAGGAACGUGUCCAAAUCCAAACACGGCACGGUGAAGUUUUUUCUAAAAAAAAAGAGAGAGAGAGAACAGCGACAUAACUGUGUCGUAUAAACCGGUGAGAAUCCGCUCGUCUCCUGCUGCUGAUGCCUUGGAGCUGUGAUGAAGGUUAAUGAUAUUUAACGUAAACACAUUCAUCCACCACGUGGUCCUCGCUUUCUGUCUCCUAAACACACCUUUUAUUUUUCAGAAACAAUAACAAGGACGCUUUCUUUUCACCCAGCCGCCAUGACCUACGAGCUGAACACACCCCGGGAGCGCAAAAUCACGUAAAAGUGAAGUCCUUUUAGUGAAAAAUGUCAGAAUCGCAUCCAUCACGACGGCUGAGACGGCUAACCGUCGUCCAGACGCUGUUUUCAAAUACUUAUUUUUUUUUUAAACGAGUUAAAAGCAGUAUACUGUACUUCAUUUUCAAACACUAGCCAGACUUUCCUGUAACACAACAGUUCUCAAAAGUCUUGCAUCUUCGGAAAUUUCCAUGUGAAUACAUAAAAAGUCACAUUCAAAUGUCAGGCGAACAUGUGUACGUAUCUCUUUCAUCGAACCGUUAGCAUCAGCAUGCUCACGCUUUCCAGCUUUAUUAAACGAGUGACGUCUGGAUCAAACCCUUUUGAAUUCGGUUCCUUCAGACUGUAAUCAACACGCAGUUAAACAGCUCUCGCAUCAUUUUCUGACAGCUUCAGGCUCUGUUAGGAUCAGCGUUAGUUCUACUGAGAGGAAGGAAAUACAAGGAAAUGGGCUCUUACAUCUCACUCAUGAUGGAGAUCGACGACGUUUUGCCGAGCAGCGAUGCACUCCUGAGCCCCAGAUCUUUACUCCCCGAUGAAGACACGGACGUCGCCAUGACACGGAGGUGACGCUCCUGAUCGGAGGAUAUGAGGAGAAGACACGGCAAUUUUAUUUUCCCUUUGGGAAGUCGCACAAGAAGUCAUGUUCUAGAUCUGUAACACGGACGGCGCGGAAGCCCGCCCCUUCGCCUGACGCGGUUGUCGGUAGCCCCGCCCCUUGUCGCGUGUAGCUCUUCCGGGAGGCGGGGCCAAACGCUGUGGCCAGAAAACGAAUCUCACCAGGAGAAGACUGGUCAGGGUUGAGUUUUCUGCUCAUCUCACGCCUUCAGCUCGUUCUGACAAGAAGGAACAAACAGGACUCGUCCUCAUGGCCUUUGUAAAGGAGUUCUUUUUCCCCUCCCUGGAAACUAAAUAUCUCCUAGAGACGAAAGUGGAACUGAGCCAGCUGGGUGUUCUUGAACCUGAACUCAAACGCAAUCUGCUGUUUGCUAUUUCAGCGAUGGACACGUUGCCGCUCAUGCUGAAGAAAAGCGCAGGACUUCUGGUCGAAGGCAGUCAGAUUCUGAUCAGCAUCACAGCGGGUAACCCCAGUCUGCAUUGCGUCGUGUUUCAGGACCACGAAGGCAUCAGACUUCACCAGACAAUAAAACCGAACAGAGAGUUGCGUCUCGACGACUUCCAUAAGGCUUUUUUCCACGGCCACGACUGUCCUCAUGAUACACCAUGUUGGGAACAGGCUAUGAAUAUCAGAUCCGUCAGCAGUAGACAAUUAGAACUAAAUAUUGUCUGCAAAGAGCUGAGAGUAACCUUCUCCGACCCUGCUCCCGUAGAGGCCAUUGUGGUGCCGACAUCUAAGAAUAUUGCACAAAUCUGAUUUAGAAAAAUAUAUAUAUAUAGAUAUAUAUUAAUAUAUAUUAAUUUCCUCUUUCCUGUUCAAACCUGUGACGCCAUCUGCUGGAAUCUGCCUCUGAAAGAUGAGUGCGCACUUUGAGUGUUGUAGGACGUUUGUUUGUUUAUAUUAUCCGAAGGUCCCUGUUUCUCCCUGCACAGCGGUCUUCCCUUAUUUCUACUGCUUGUCUUCUACAGAAACAUUACACACGACCAUUAAGCCUAAUGUUUUCAAUGUUUUAUUGCCAGUUUUCUAACCGUUUAUAAUCAAAGCCCACUUGUAGUGGAAAUAUGUCUGUUCAGUAGAAUGAGUAUAAUACUAAUACUGUUACUCUGCUAAAAUAAAGAUUCUCAUUAUGUAAUCAGUCUUGAGCUCAGGAUCAGUCCAGGGGUCCUGGAACACAGACUUUCCACUGCACCUUUUUCAUCUGUACACUGAAUUAGGAAUUGAGGAACAGUUCACCUCAGCAAUAACAAGUUCAACAUGGAAAGGAAGUCAACGAGCCCGAUUUGUCCGCUACAGCCAUUGACAUCGGACGGAAGUGGCUGCUUGUGUUCUAAUCCCGCAGGUGACCGGACAUGAUUGUAAAUAUAGUACGCGUGUGUGGAGACGUCUGAGCGAUGGGCUCACACGACACAGCUGGGAGAGUGCUGAUUACUGAGAGUGUGCACCUUGCUCAGUGGUGAGUUCAUCUGUGCUUUGUUUUCAAGAGCAAAUACACGGCGUCAGUGUGAGUGAGCCAGGUUAACAGUGAGUGAUCUGCCUUGGUUAACACACACACUCUCACUCACAUACAUAUUACACUGAUGUACAUCACUGUUUGUUUGUGUAAAGGUGCUGUGUCGCCUCCUGCUGGUCUGGUUAGAGUAUUACACAAUGUAUCUAGCUUUGUACUUUAAUAUACUUUUUAAUCUUGUGUUAAUUCUCAUAGAUUUCCAUAUAAUUCAUUAAGGAUGAUCAAUUAAUCACUAUUUUGAACAUGUAUUAUCUGAUUAAGUGAUACACAAAGAUGUACUACUAUUAUUAUUAUUAUUAACAGGAUCUGUCUUUGAUUAUUGCAGUUUGCUGCUUUAUUGUGAUUAAUUGUGAUUAUUAACUCAGUUAAUCCCUGCAGCACUGGAAUGUAUUUUAGGAAAACACGGAUUGUAUCAGAAGAAAGGUUCCGUUAGGUUCUCUACUACAUCCAGUUCUCAGCUGUGAGGUUCUGGAGCUUCAGGGCUGUAGGUGAAUACGCAAUAAAAAUGACUGAACUGAGAGAACAAAUUCAGAUCUAAAUAAUGAUAAGAAGGAACCACAUGACCACACGGCCUCCACAAUUCUCCAUAUUUUUCAAAAGAUUUUAUAUUCGAAUAUCGUUUUAUUUGUUUUUCCCUCUGUGUCUUCGUGAUUUCAUUUACGGAAUAAUGAUCUCCGUGUGCUAUUUAAAUUACUAAGUAGUGAGAAUAAAAUCACAGGAUAACAAGGAACAAAUAAUUAGGCCUGGCCUCCAAUCAGGGUCUACCUCAUUAGCAUAAAACCAAAGACAUCUGGGACCAGGGAAGCUACCAUGGACUCCUUAAGCAGGAGUCUUUUUAAAGAGACCUGUCUGAGAGAAUGAGGAGAAUGAGGAAGGCGGGGGAGGGUGAGUGACCAGUGUGGGUGAGAGGUUUUUAUACACAGUGUGUACACACCGCCGUCUUCAUACUGCUACAGCGCCACUUUUUAUUCUUAAACCUGCCAAAACACAGAUUAGAACCAGAAGGUUCAGUAACCACAACACUGACACUCACGCUCAUCUAACAUUCCUCGUAUCAGUGUCAGGUCCAGGUUUCUUCUCAUUAGCAUUAUGCACCUGUUCCUUCUGUGGUGUGGUGAUUUAUGAUGACAAAAGCCCACCACACGGGUGUAGUUUCUGUCUCUUGGUGGUGUAGUGGUUACAGUUCAUGCCAAUGAUGGUGUUCCAGAAGGUGUGGGUUCUCUUCCACCUUUUGGCUGGUUUAAGACAAAAAAAAAAAUCCUGCAGCCUCAUGACGUGAUUUGUGAUGACAAAAGUCCAACACACGUGUGUAGCUUCUGUUGCUUGGUGGUGUAGUGGUUAGAGUUCAUGUUUGUGGUGUGUUUUUUCAGGUUCUAAGGCACCUUUUGGCAGGUUCAAGAAUCAAAAGUGGUGCUAUGAAGGUGUGACGGAGGGAGUGGUGUGUAGGCCUCUGUGGCUCAGUUGGCUAAGUCAUCAUGGCUGUGGAGCAGGAGGUGCUUGGAUCAAACCCCAAAUGGAGUACUUGGCUGGAGUUUGGAGGUGGAGCUCACGCUCACUACGACUCAACCACCUGUAAAGAAACUCCAAACACAGACCAGACGAGUUUGUGGCUCAGGAGUAAAACGCUUGUCUCUGAUCAGUACGUACUGAAUGUCAAGCGUCAGAGCCUCACCGUGGAAAACUCUCCUGUGUGUGGAGGUUGUUUUCAGUUGGAACACCGGUUGGAUUUGUCCACCCUUCCUGGAGACCUGGAUAGUAACAGGCUCAUGGCUCUGUUCUGAAGAUUCACUGAAGCUCUGGUGCCACCUGCUGGAGGAAGUCUGGUUAUUAGGCUAUGCAAUUGAUAAAAUCUUGUAAGAACUGUUCAAUGUAUUUCUCUCAAUUUGGACUUUUCAGAAGACGUUGUUAGACAAGUGGAAACCGGCCAUCUUAAUUAGCGUGCACGGAGGGGUGCAGACGAAACCAAGCAAAAUAAAGUGCUGACGGGUGAUUGAUUAAUAUUCAUUGUCGCCUGUUGAUGUAAUUCUGGCACCUUGCCGUUUCAACCGUUUUUUGUUUGUUUCAUUCACGGGAUCUCUUUAUGAAAUGACUAACCUUAUCGCGUUUUGGGCGAGGCGGGAGAUUCCGAGUUUCUGUUGGAGGUGGUGAAGAUCUCUCAGACACAGCACGUUAUUACCUGUAUCUUUAAUUAAAAAAUAAAUAAAUAAAUAAAUGAAUAAAUAAAAAGAAACCAAUAAUUUAGUGCAAAAUCAGAGGCUUGUACACGAGUUAAUUUCUUUUAGGUAGUAUAAUGAUCAGCUUUGAUCUGUUUAUACACGAUUUACUUGGAUUUUGGGAUGCAGAACCCACCAAGUCCUUUAGAAAAUAUUCCAGUAGAAGCGGGCUGGAUUGCUCAGGAGUGCGAGUUCAGCGCUCUGCCUUACAACAGUUUAUUCAACUUGGAUGUUUGUUUCUUUAACGUGAAUCACUUCAAUAAAACUACUUUGAAUUUCAA